CCUCCCUUCUCCUUUUUUUCUCUCCCUCAUUUGAGGCAGGCAAAAUGGCUGCUGCCUGGCCAACUCAUCUUCUGUCAGGAAGGGGAAGCGAAAGGGCUGGGACAUGGCUUCUUGGGGUAUCUCCGGCCAUAUUUGAACCUGACUCUUUCAUCUCUACGUGGCACCAUCUGUAACACAACCGAGAAAGCCAGUUUGGAAUAAAACCAGAGUUGGAGACACAUGUGGGUAGUUUUGGCAUAUUUCGAGUGUUGCAAAUAGGCUGGAUUGCCAAACUGAGCUAUUGUGUUAUCGGUUUAACUUUACUCGGUCCAGGCAGGAUUGUGAUGCUGUGUCUUGAACCAGCUGGAAAGGUUUGUUUGCAGUAUUAAAGGAAAUGAUAUUUCUUGUAUUUUUUAUGUUGUAUCAAUUGAUGUUGCAUUAAGCAGUAGAACUGUAAGAAUUGUAUGUGGCUAGUCAAUGACAGGCCAUACAAUAGGUAGGAUUUAACUUAUCCCACUUCCGUUAUUGCUUUUCAUUUCCGAAAGCAGGAUCUGAUUAUAAUUUUGUGCCAAGAGUCGUUAUGUUUAUUCAUCUACCUCUGUUGACCAAUGUAACCAAUGUAUCGAUGACUACUUAUUUUCCUCAGAAGGACUCACCACAAAAAAAGCAAAAUGUUAAUUUUUUAAAAGCAGUGCUUUUAUUUGUCAGGUACCAUAGUUUCAUUGUUGCUUAUAUAAGAGUGGAGUGAGUCUUGUAAGAAACUAUUCCUGCAGUUAUAUGUGCAUGCCCUAAAGUAAAGUACAAGAAAAGACCUUGACGUCAUUUCUGAGCCUCUCUAUACAGGUUCAGAGUCGUCAUCAUUGUAAUAGUGCAAUGUUGGUUGUGUGUCUGUUAUUUGAAGCAACAUUAAUAGUAACAACAAGCUGAUGCUAGAGAAGGAACUAGUUCAUUACCGUUUUAAUCCAAAAGGACCUCAGGACAGCUCAGUGCAAAUGAACAAAUAUCAGCAAGCUUGAUUUUUUUCCCUGCUCAAAACUCUUGUGGAGUCACAAUCAGCCUGCGUCCAAGCCUAAGACUUCCCCUUUACUCAGGCUGGCCCAGCUCAUCUCCAUUAUCCAGAGAAAGAUCAAAAUAUGUUCCUGAUGCCUUUGGAUUGACGCUUGCUAUAAUAAGAACCUGGAUCUUAUUUUGUACUUUGUGCACUUUGAUGUAUUGAUGCAUUUACUGGCUGUUUAAAAUGCCCAGUGACCGAAGUUUUCUGGGCAGUGUGCAAUGUAUUAAAAACAUGAAGUACAAAUGUAAAAAAAAAUAAAAUAAAAAUGGCACAGAAUAAAACCAAGGUAAAACUGCAAGCAAAAAAAUAAAGCCAUUACAAAAUCAUAAAAUCAGAUUAAAACUAGAAUGCUGAUGUUUGCUGUCUUUAUACAUAAUAUAGUAUAAUGGUGACUGAAUAUUUUUACCAGUACGUAUUUCAUGAUAAUUAUGUAUUAUGGCUGUUAGCUGCAUUGAAGAAAGGCACAAAGUGGAUGUGAAUUUUAAUCAUUUUAAAUGUGCUGUUUUCUUGCUGUGAUUAGAAAGGAACCAGUGCUUCACUGCAUCUCUGUGGUUUGUUUUCUCACUCUUGUAAAAGAGAGAAAGAAAGAAAUCCCGUACUUCAACAGGGCAUUCUUUGAAGCAAGCACAGGGUUCUUAAAUGCUAUUGUGAACUUAAAAGAAAGGAAAAGAAGGGAAAGGUUCUAGGUAAUAUGAUCUAGAAAACUGUUCUGCAUGCAUAUGCUAAUAUUGUAGCUAUGACAAUUUUUUAAAAGAUGUGGAUUGCUUUAAAAAACAUUUCUUGCUGCUAAUCAUGUUGCUUUUUUAAAUCUGUCACAUGAAUUGAAUUUUAAAAAUCGUUGCAGCCUUCCUAUAGGCAAAUCUAAAUGACAAAAUGGCUUCCUGUCAGCCAUUUUGUAGGCAUACAAACAGCUAAUUUAAUCCAGUGGUUUUGUUUUAGGGUGGUUGUCUCCCAGUUAAGCUAUCACUUUGAGGAACUGAAAAGAUUUUACGAAAGACUGGCACCAUUUUUCUCUCUGGGAAAUGUCCCUGGAUCGUUUUGGCAGUGUCUCCCCGGACUCGGACUACACAAAAGCUGAAAACAGCAUCCACUUUUCAAAGAGCUAUUUUGUUCUUUGUUUUAUAGUUUGCCAGUCUCUAUUAAUACCCCAGAGCAGCACCUGAAGCUUUUAGAACUUCUCCAAAAAAAAUUUUGUUUUGUUUUGAGGUGAGCUUAGGAUCACACAAUGGCUCACGUUUAUUUGCAUUCUAAAUAGCUGCAUUAACGGUAUUCAGACUUUUUGGCUUUGCCAAUGCUGGAAUUCUAAGACAUUCAAUCAGAUAUGCUGGUCAUGAACAAUGGUGCUUUGAUACCAAGCCAUAGGGAAAAGCACAGCUGUGACAUCUUUUUCCCUAGGAAUGUGCAUGAAACCAGGAUUCAAAGCACCUGAUUUCUUGCCAUAAUGAGGACAAUUUUCUUUUUCUGUUCUUUUUUCUUUAACCAUGACAUCUUGAGUUCCAUCCCACUCUGUGAAAUGGUCUUUGCAAAGCACAUUGCUCUCCUCCCACCACACACCACCCCACACACACUCACUAUGUUAUACCAUUUGAAUGUUUUAACUGUGUGACUAAGUGAGAAAAAUAUAUUGUUAUGUUUAGAUCAGUUCUCUUUCUGCUGAUUUGCACAGAUCUUGCCACUAAAAUAUAUGCCUUCCCUGAAGAAACUCCAAAAUGCAUAGGAGCAUUAAAUUCCAGGACUAAAUUUAUCAAGUAAAUAUAUUAUUAGGGGAUCAGGAAAGAGAACAAAAUUAAAUAUAUCCUUUGCCCAUUAAAUGAUUCUUUUCCCCUGCCAGCUGAACACCACUUUUUCUCUGCCUUACAGUUGGCAUUUCUCUUAUAUUUGCUUGUCUGGACCCCUUCUUCCCUCAAACUGUGGUAUGUGCCUGAAAAACCCGAACAAUUAAAAAUAAUAAUUAAAAGGGAAGGUUGGAUCAGUAAGCAGAACAAAAUAACUCCCCUAUAGCGGCCUAAGUCAACACAUACAGUGUUGCUGGCUACCUACCCUAUGAUAGUUUUCAAAAAUAAUGCAACUGAAUAUUGUAAAUGCAUUUCUUUGUAUAUCUUUGUUUCUGCUGUUUCUUGAUACCCCCUGCCUACCUCACAACAGCCACAUAUGGAAAAAACCAUCAUGCUAGGGGAGGUUGAAGGCAGAAGAAGUAAAGGAAAACCGAAGAAGGGAUGGACUGACCUCAUAAAGGAAGCCAUAGCCUUAAUUUAGAACACCUAAACGAAAGCUAGGACACCUCAGGGAUGUCAUGGAUAGGAUACUUUGGGAAGCUUUCAUUCAUAUGGUUGCCAGAGUUGGAGAUGAUUUGACAGCAGAUAACAACAGAUGUGGGAUGUGGCAUUCGGUGGUGCCACUCAAUCACUUUAGUACCUGGAUAUGCUUUAGGGAGGGGUGGGAGAAUGUGUUAGCCAUGUAUCUCACUGUAUUUGUAUAGCAUGUAAGUAACUUUUCUUAUCUCCCACUCACUACCAGUUCAUGCUUUGCAUCUGUUUCUAUAUUCCUGAUAUGUUAGAACAAAAAAACCACCAAGCACUAUGGAAAAGGUACAAACUGAGCACAUGCAGUUUCACAUUUUAGACUCAAGUCAUAGCACCAUCAUGAAUAUAGCUAUAAAAUGGAGCGGAGGGUCAUUUGGCGAGGCCCUGGUGGCCUCAGGGUGCAAAUCUAGCUGCACCAUUGAUAAGGCCAUGGGGUUGGCUAAUUUCCUAUUGUAUGAUUUUCUGGUUCCCUUGUUUAGUUAUUCUGCACACUGCAGCUAUUUUCCACUCUGCCUGUCCAGUAUCAAGGUGGGGUCCGAAAUGCAGUUGGCUCCUCUGGCCUCUAUUGUAAUACUAAAAAUAGAGGGGGUUCCUGAAUCAGCUUCUUCUAACUGUUACUACGUAUAAGAAGCAAUGACAGUUAUCACUGCCACUUGUUCUGCGCAGUGUUUCUUACUGAGACCUGUAAUCCAGAGCGCUGGUUCCUGGGAGCAGUAGUUCCGCAGCUCAGAAACGGGGAUUAGUGUGGAUAACUCCCUAGCAUGCCAAUUCAUCUAAAUAUAUGGCAAAUGUAAAAUUGUCCUAGCACUGGGGAUGAGCUUUAAAAUUGGACACAUGGUAUCUGUAGAAAGGAUUUGUACAGCCAUUAGUAAAGACAGCCACACUGAGGUUGCGUUAUGCUUAAUGAGCCUUGUGGCACUCCAUGAAGUUCUUCUGUCACACAAUUUUUUUCUUACCGUAAAAUAGGAUCCUUUGAACCUGUCUUGACAUUAGUGCCAAGUGUGCCCCAUUUUGCUGAGUGGCAAAAUGUUUCAAGGUGCAGCACUUACCUGGCUUUGGUUUUGUAUGGAAUGAAAUCACUGAGGACCUGUGGCAACUUGUAAUAUUUGAAUGUAUAUACUAAUAUGCAGCCUGAGUCCAGCGGGAGGCAGACAACAGAAACAUUCCAGCAAAGCAAGUGUCAUUGCCCCUCGCCGGAUUUCCAGAGAAGUACCAGCAUAUCCCCAAAUGCCCUCUCCUCAGCUCAGCCCUCUCUGUGCCUCUCUCAGCCUGCCUUAUUCCCUGAUUCAGAACUGCAGCUUCUAUUGUUCCUCUGCACACAAGGAAAUAGAUGACAACAUUACUGGUACAGAAGAAAAACGGUAUAACCCUUACCUGCUUCUCUGAGUUGUAAUGCAAUCUUCUUACAAUUAGCUCCCACUGCGGAACAUUACCUGAAUAUCCCAGGCAAUUAAAAUUCCUUUGGCAAGUCCAGGAGUCUGUAAGGCCAGUUAUCGCCUUACAAUAAGAUAUUGCCUUUCUGUGUAACUAGGUUCAUAUAAGGUUGUUUGGGGGGAAAUAAUGAUGUAGUAGGAACUUCUGAAACUACCAUGGUUUUGUGCAAAAAGUGAUAACUACUUCUCUCUAAAGCAUUUCUUCCAUUCCAGUACACAGGUGUGCACAUGUGUGUGUGUGUGUGUGUGUGUGUGCAUACAUCCUCUCACUAUUUGAGCCCCUCCAUAAAAAUUGGACUCAGCAACUCUCCAUGAUUAGAAAUCCAAAUGAUAAAGCAGCAAAACAUAACAAAUGUCAUUUUAAAAUGUUGUGUUUCUGUACUAAAAUUAUCCCAUGUUUUUCAUAUAGAAUAGUCAUUCAGCUUUUUCCUGUCCAAUAAUUUAUUAAAAACAAUUCAAUGGACUGUAUCCAAUGUGGUCAUUCCAUUAGCACAAUGCUUUUAUCAUUUGUAGAAACUGCAUUUUCAUCUUUCUAGAAGGGUCAGGUGCAAUACUUUGAUUGGAUCUUCACUAGGCCAGGUGUUCUUGUGCUUGUUGGUCACUACUUGUACAAAUGCCACCUCUUCUACCAUUUCUGCUAGUAUAAAGUUGGAUACAAGCUGUUAAAUUUUUAAGGGGGCACCUCAGCUAUGUAAUUCCCUACCCUAAACAUGUGAUUCCCCCAUGAGUGAAAUUUGGGGUAUAAUUUUGACAUCUCUGUCCUCAGAACAGUCAAAUUAAAGAAAUCAGAAAGACAAACCAGCAAAUCUUUACACAGAGGCUGUCUAAACAACACUACGUUUAGGGUUCCUAAGUCUUGUUUGGAGGGAUGUUACUGGGAUGGGCAACCUCUUUCAGCCGAAGUAGUCAUUUCUUCAGCAGCAGCACCUGGCAAUACAGCACAAUUUUAGACAUGCGUCUUUACAAGUAAGAUCUGCUGAGUUCAGUUCAUUGAAUUUUAUCCCAGUCUAUCAAUAUCCUGUUGAUUGUUAAUAACAUAUCUCAUGACAUACAACGUUUAUUUUUUAAAAACAUUUCUAUUGAUUUUCAUUAUCCAAAAAAAGCUUCAUAAGCAUCAGCCUCAGGCCUCAAUGAUAUAAAGGUGUCACUAUACAUAAAGGGAAGAAACCUGUAUGUUAGGACAUAGAAACCUGUGAAACACAGGUUUUAUAUGUAACAGUCAGCCUCAUUUUUCAGCCAGGAUUGUGUUUCAUCAAUAUGUGUAUCUUUUCAUACACAUGGAAAGCAGUGUGCCCUGUUCACAUGUGAUUGAAUGGUUUAUACAACCACAGCGUAAAUUAUCAAUUACCCACAUUCUAUCCUACCAUUCUUUUCAUUUCUCCAAUACCUUCCUGCUUCCGAUCUUGCUGCCAUCCAAAAAUGUUAAGUGCAUUUUAUAAUAUGAGUGUUGAUUAUCACAUGAACACAAGGCUGUCAUUACACAUAUGCAUUUAUUUGUGAUUUUUCCUUGCUUCUUGAAAUACCAGGCUCCAGAAUCAAUUUGUUCUGCCGCCACGUAUGGAAAUAAUACCCAGUUUUGGAGGCCAAACCUAAUAGUAGUUUCUAGUUGUGUAAAAGGUCUUACUAGGUGUGCCUGUACUUGAAAUAUAGAUACAAUGUGUAUUAUUUGGUGAGUAUGUAUCCAAGCUUUGAUGCUUUGAUGUCAGUCUUGCAACUGUAUCCUAGUUUUAGGGAAACAUUCUGUGAAAUAAGUCUUUCUGAAUGUGUAAAUUUGUCUUGAUCAAAGAAAAGGGGAUGACAUAGAAAGAGUGCCAGAGGUGAUGGUGAAAACAAUUCAGUGCAGAUACUACUGCAUGUCUUAUCUAAGCCAAAUAAAAUCAAAGGGCUCAGAAAUGGACAAUUCUCUGCAGCUUUGUACCCGUAACCUUUCUGUUUCUUGUUUUACCAUCUCUAGAUUCCAUCAGGGUGUAAUUGAUUUGCAUGUUUGUAAUAAGUGCAAAUGUAAUAAGAAUAAAUUAAGUAAUUAACUAUUGACUGCCACUUCUCAAUACCCAAAAUCAGCUGCCUGAUGUGGCUUUCUGACUCUGUCCAAUGGUAGGACAGGCCUGAACACCUUUAAUCACUGAAUAUUAAUAUGUGUCUAGCUCUUGGAGAGGGAAAAUGUAUUUUAAUAAAUAUGCUUUACAAAUA